rnacentral:rRNA from 1 species
GUGAGGAAUAUUGCGCAAUGGAGGCAACUCUGACGCAGCCAUGCCGCGUGCAGGAAGAAGGCGCUACGCGUUGUAAACUGCUUUUAACCGGGAAGAAACCCCAGGACGUGUCCUGGGUUGACGGUACCGGAGGAAUAAGCACCGGCUAACUUCGUGCCAGCAGCCGCGGUAAUACGAAGGGUGCAAGCGUUAUCCGGAUUCAUUGGGUUUAAAGGGUGCGUAGGCGGAGCGUUAAGUCAGUGGUGAAAUCCUGCAGCUUAUCUGUAGACUUGCGAGUGAUACUGGCGCUCUUGAGUGCGCUUGAAGUGGGCGGAAUGUGCCGUGUAGCGGUGAAAUGCUUAGAUAUGGCACAGAACACCAAUUGCGAAGGCAGCUCACUAAGGCGAUACUGACGCUGAGGCACGAAAGCGUGGGGAUCGAACAGGAUUAGAAACCCCAGUAGUCC